rnacentral:lncRNA from 1 species
UUCAUCAGAGCGCCAGGCUUCAACGCACCUGGUGAGUCUCUGAGGAGUCAUUUAAGCAAUGGGGAGCUCACCAACUGUGCGGUAAUGAGAGAUUCAAAUACCAAGCGCUCCAAAGGCUUCGGAUUUGUCACCUACACAGUGACAGUGGGAGUGGAUGCAAAUAUGAAUGGAAGACCACACAAAAAAUGGAUAAAGAGUUGUGGAACAAGAGAGAGUCUGGGUCAAGAAAAGACUCUCAAAGACCAGGUAUCUGCUUAACUGUGAAGAAGAUCAUUUUUGGUAUUGGAGAAGAAACCAAAGAACAUGACUUCUGACAUUAUUUCACUUUUGGUGACCAUGGCUCAGUGAAUGAGACUGUCUGUCAUUCAGAAAUACAAUAUUAUAAAUGGCUACAACUGUGAAGUAAGAAACAGUCCAAUGAAGCAAGAAAUGGCUAAUUCUUUAUCCACCCAAAGAGUUCAAAGUGGUUCCAGAAACUUUGGUAGUUGUCUUGUAAGUGGUUUUGGUGGCAGUUACAGUUUUGAUCACAGUGCUCUUCAGUGUCCAUGUGUCUUUGGUGGCAGCUGUGGUGAUAGAGUAUGGUGACUGUGCAGGUGGUUAUAAUUAAUAGUAAUGAUGGAAGCAAUUUUGGAGAUGUUAUAAGCUACAGUGAUUUGUGAAAUUACAACUAUUGGUCUUCAAAUUUUGGAGCAGUGAAGGGAAGAAACUUUGAAGGCAAAAGUUCUAGCCCUUAUGUUGCUGGCAGCCAAUAUCUGUUAAGUCACAAAACCAAGGUGGGUAUGGUAGUUCCAGUAUCACUAGCUGA